CUGAGAACAUCACAUAAAAGCAAUCCUAUUCUACCACCGCUCAGCUACCUCUCUCUGUAACUACCUCUUUUUGCCUAUGGGAUGGAACAUGCUGGAGAUCUAUUUUCUCAAAACCUUGGAACCUAAGUUCACUCCUUGAGAAAGGGCGGA